rnacentral:rRNA from 1 species
AAUGAACGCUGGCGGCGUGGAUUAGGCAUGCAAGUCGAACGCGAAAGUUCCCUUCGGGGAGCGAGUAGAGUGGCGAAAGGGUGAGUAAUGCUUGGAUGACCUGCCCUCGAGACGGGGACAACAGUUCGAAAGGACUGCUAAUACCCGAUAGUCCGGUUUAGAUGCGUCUAGAUCGGUAAAUGGUGCUUCCGCUCGAGGAGGGGUUCAAGUCCUAUCAGCUUGUUGGUGAGGUAACGGCUCACCAAGGCGAUGACGGGUAGGCCGGACGUGAGAGGUUGGCCGGCCGACAUGGGAACGUGAGACACUGUCCUGACUCCUACGGGAGGCUGCAGUCGAGAAUCUUCUGCAAUGGGCGAAAGACCUGACAGAGCGACGCCGCGUGGAGGAUGAAGGCCCUCGGGUCGUAAACUACCUGUCACAUGUUAUGAAACGCACAGGUCUACCUGUGCGCUGACAAAAGCAUGAGAGGAAGUCACGGCUAACUUCGUG